UCCUACGGGGCGCAGCAGUAGGGAAUCUUCCACAAUGGGCGAACGCCUGAUGGAGCAACGCCGCGUGGGUGAAGAAGGUCUUCGGAUCGUAAAACCCAGUUGUUAGAGAAGAAAGUGCGUGAGAGUAACUGUUCACGUUUCGACGGUAUCUAACCAGAAAGCCACGGCUAACUACGUGCCAGCAGCCGCGGUAAUACGUAGGUGGCAAGCGUUAUCCGGAUUUAUUGGGCGUAAAGGGAACGCAGGCGGCCUUUUAAGUCUGGUGUGAAAGCCUUCGGUCUAACUGGUG
rnacentral:rRNA from 1 species